UUCGUGCUCCACGCAGGCGCCCCCGGACCAAAUCACAGGUUCAGCCCAGAUCGCCCCGGCUGAGUUCAGGGGCUUGGCCUCUACAGGUGUGUGGGUUUAAAGUCUCACAACCAGCCUUAGAAGAAGAUCAGCCAUGACAUCUUGUCAGCGAGUAGCCGCAAGGUGUCUGGGAUCCUGAAAGAUAUUGCAGAGGCUGUUUAACAGGUUUCCAGGAGAUGCUGCUGGUCCCAGGACCACCUCUGAAGAUCUCUGCUAUAGGUAAAGGAGUUGAAUCUGAGCAAAAACCUUUUGGUUAGGGAAGAGGGAGGCGGAGUGAAAAGAAGAGGAGGAUUCAAAAAGAUGUGCAAAGGAAAAUGUGGGAAAAGAAGACACUGAUGGAAAACGGCAAUUCAAGACUGCAGUGAACAAUUUUAGCUAGCCCAGUGAG